rnacentral:misc_RNA from 1 species
AUGGAACAUACCAAAUUAUAUUAGUCAGAGGUGGUUCCUCCAUUAGCUUUGUAUUUGGGGAAGGGCACCAUACCAUUGUCAAUAAAGAAAAGAUCACUCACAAGGAUUUCAUCUCAGGGGGUGACUGGAAAGAAGGGUGGGAUAUGUAGCGAAGUCCUGGACGAUCUCAAACCUGGUGUUGAAAGGACAGAUAUCAUGAAUACUGCACCUCCAGAUUUGUUCAAGUCAAUAGAAACUAAAGACAUUACAUCUUUGAGGGAAAA